rnacentral:rRNA from 1 species
GAUGAACGCUGGCGGCGUGCCUAAUACAUGCAAGUCGAGCGAACAGACGAGGAGCUUGCUCCUCUGACGUUAGCGGCGGACGGGUGAGUAACACGUGGAUAACCUACCUAUAAGACUGGGAUAACUUCGGGAAACCGGAGCUAAUACCGGAUAAUAUAUUGAACCGCAUGGUUCAAUAGUGAAAGACGGUUUUGCUGUCACUUAUAGAUGGAUCCGCGCCGCAUUAGCUAGUUGGUAAGGUAACGGCUUACCAAGGCAACGAUGCGUAGCCGACCCGAGAGGGGGAUCGGCCACACUGGAACUGAGACACGGUCCAGACUCCUACGGGAGGCAGCAGUAGGGAAUCUUCCGCAAUGGGCGAAAGCCUGACGGAGCAACGCCGCGUGAGUGAUGAAGGUCUUCGGAUCGUAAAACUCUGUUAUUAGGAAAGAACAAAUGUGUAAGUAACUAUGCACGUCUUGACGGUACCUAAUCAGAAAGCCACGGCUAACUACGUG